GAACUGAAGAGUUUGAUCAUGGCUCAGAUUGAACGCUGGCGGCAGGCCUAACACAUGCAAGUCGAGCGGAUGAAGGGAGUUUGCUCCUGGAUUCAGCGGCGGACGGGUGAGUAAUGCCUAGGAAUCUGCCUGGUAGUGGGGGAUAACGUCCGGAAACGGGCGCUAAUACCGCAUACGUCCUGAGGGAGAAA
rnacentral:rRNA from 1 species